GUGACUCGGUGGGCUCGCUGCCCCAGGGCCCCACUGCCGUCUCUGCCACCCUCGCGCGGUGAGGGCGCAGGUUCUCUGGCAGGUUUCUGCCUCCCAGGCAGGACUAAGGGGUCUGGUUCUAGUUAGGACGGAUUAAGCACAUUCCACCCUACCUCUUACACUUUUUGCAACUAAAACCUCUGGACAGAAUAUAAAAACCAGCCCUUGGAGAACUCUGAGAAGUAAGUAAGAGCAGACAUCAAAAUCGAACAAUGGGUAAAGACCUCAGAUUCGACCAAUGACCCAUAUGGUGGGGCGGCCUCUCGGCAGGGAAGGCUGGGAACUGCAAGUCUGCAGCUGCUCCACACGCCUACCCCACCACCCGGGGCCACGGGAGCCACGGCCAUCCACCAAGAACAGAGAGAGAGCAGCAGGUCUGAAGACAUGCAGUGGGACCCAUGCCCUCAGAGCUGAGAUCGUCCAUCCCAGGGGGCUCGUGGCUCGGGGGUUCAGGAAGACACUGCUAUCCCUCAGCCUCCGCCGGAGAAGAAGCAUGCGGCCCAGCCAUCCCGGCGUCAAGAGGAUACCCGGCCCUUUGGUGUAAGGACCUCCAGAGCCAAACCUAGCGGGGCCGUGAGAAGGUGUGACAGCUGCUGAGGGAGAAUCCAGAGACUUGCAAGUCAGGAGGGUUGGAGGGAGAAAUAGGAAGCACUAACUAUGUCAUUUUCUCCAGGUGACCAAGGCUGGCGAGUCUUAGUGCCUUGUGCACCGGUCUGUCUGGUCACACCCCCACGGAAGUGUUCAGAGCAGGAGGGAUUCCGUGCCAGUGAAUAGUAACAACUUUAUGUGAAUAGAAUUUCCAAUAGAUUUCUAUCCAAGUAGAAAUGUGAACAGAUUUGAAAAGAAUCUUCUUUUUUUCCAACAGGAAGUCGAUUAUGACUGAUCGGGCAAUCAGAUGAGUUUUGUCAUUUGGAGUAUAUGACACAUACCUGAAAAUUGACUGUGUUUUUAGCUCUGAGGCUUUAAAGCAAAGGAAUACAUGAUCAAAAAUUCAAAGGCCGAAGAUACAGACAUAAUGAAAAGAGGGGCCAUAUGCACCCCAAUGUUCACAGCAGCAUUGUCCACAAUAGCUAAAUCGUGGAAGGAGCCAAGAUGCCCUUCAACAGAUGACUGGAUUAAGAAGCUGUGGUCCAUAUAUACA